UACGUAGGGUGCGAGCGUUAAUCGGAAUUACUGGGCGUAAAGCGUGCGUAGGCGGUCCGCGAAGUCUGAUGUGAAAGCCCGGGGCUCACCCCCGGAAGUGCAUUGGAAACUGGUGGACUCGAGUCCCGGAGAGGAGAGUGGAAUUCCUGGUGUAGCGGUGAAAUGCGUAGAUAUCAGGAGGAACACCGGUGGCGAAGGCGGCUCUCUGGACGGUGACUGACGCUGAGACGCGAAAGCGUGGGGAGCAAACAGG
rnacentral:rRNA from 1 species